GGGACCUUGGCGCAGUUGGCUAGCGCGCAGGUCUCAUAAUUCUUAAACUAUGAUCCGGUGUAAAUACCGGAGUAAUCCUGAGGUCGGGAGUUCGAGCCUCCCAGGUCCCA
rnacentral:tRNA from 1 species